rnacentral:rRNA from 1 species
AUACCGGAUAACGUUUUGAACCGGAUGGGUGGAAAUUGAAAGGCGGCUUCGGCUGUCACUUAUGGAUGGACCCGCGUCGCAUUAGCUAGUUGGUGAGGUAACGGCUCACCAAGGCAACGAUGCGUAGCCGACCUGAGAGGGUGAUCGGCCACACUGGGACUGAGACACGGCCCAGACUCCUACGGGAGGCAGCAGUAGGGAAUCUUCCGCAAUGGACGAAAGUCUGACGGAGCAACGCCGCGUGAGUGAUGAAGGCUUUCGGGUCGAAAACUCUGUUGUUAGGGAAGAAAAGU